GACGAACGCUGGCGGCGGGCUUAACACAUGCAAGUCGAACGGAAAGGCCCUGCUUUUGUGGGGUGCUCGAGUGGCGAACGGGGGAGUAACACGUGAGUAACCUGCCCUUGACUUUGGGAUAACUUCAGGAAACUGGGGCUAAUACCGGAUAGGAGAUCCUGCUGCGGGGAGGGGGGUGGAAAGUUUCGGCGGGUGGGGAUGGACUCGCGGCUUAUCAGCUUGUUGGUGGGGGAGUGGCUUACCAAGGCUUUGACGGGUAGCCGGCCUGAGAGGGUGACCGGCCACAUUGGGACUGAGAUACGGCCCAGACUCCUACGGGAGGCAGCAGGGGGGAAUAUUGCACAAUGGGCGGAAGCCUGAUGCAGCAACGCCGCGUGCGGGAUGACGGCCUUCGGGUUGUAAACCGCUUUCGCCUGUGACGAAGCGGGAGUGACGGUAAUGGGUAAAGAAGCACCGGCUAACUACGUG
rnacentral:rRNA from 1 species